UACAGAGGUCUCAAGCGUUGUUCGGAUUCAUUGGGCGUAAAGGGUGCGUAGGUGGCGCCGUAAGUCAGGUGUGAAAUUUCGGAGCUUAACUCCGAAACUGCAUUUGAUACUGCGGUGCUUGAGGACUGGAGAGGAGACUGGAAUUCACGGUGUAGCAGUGAAAUGCGUAGAUAUCGUGAUGAAGACCAGUGGCGAAGGCGGGUCUCUGGACAGUUCCUGACACUGAGGCACGAAGGCCAGGGGAGCAAACGGG
rnacentral:rRNA from 1 species